rnacentral:rRNA from 1 species
CGGAGGAUGCGAGCGUUAUCCGGAUUUAUUGGGUUUAAAGGGUGCGUAGGCGGGCUUUUAAGUCAGCGGUAAAAAUUCGGGGCUCAACCCCGUCCGGCCGUUGAAACUGGGGGCCUUGAGUGGGCGAGAAGAAGGCGGAAUGCGUGGUGUAGCGGUGAAAUGCAUAGAUAUCACGCAGAACCCCGAUUGCGAAGGCAGCCUUCCGGCGCCCUACUGACGCUGAGGCACGAAAGUGCGGGGAUCGAA